UCCUAGAAGCAUUCAUUGAGAACAGUUUCUUAUUUCUUGUUCAUAUCCCAAAAGUACUGGACCUUUUUGGACAGAAGCAUCACCUACUGUAGAGAUCAGAACAACUAAUGAGGACAGAAAGGUCUGGUUGUAAACACUGGAGUGGAGUGGAGCCAGAAGGAAGAGGCACCUCUGGAGAUUAGGGAAAGAGGAAAAGAAAAAAAAUCAACUUGGAACUCCAGGAACAGUGAAAUGAAUAGAACCAAGAGGACAAUGUACACAACUCCACAAUUAAAAUUGGAAAAAUAAAUUGUGAAGAUUACCCCCAGUCAGAGAACGGAAAUAUGAAAACAUGAAAGAAUUGAGUUG
rnacentral:lncRNA from 1 species